AGUUAAAAAUUUCAUCCAUUUGUAUAACUAAAAAUGAGUGUGAUUAACGGAAUAACUAGAUAGUUACACAUGGUGUGCCACUUUUAUCUCAUGCUGACGUAUAAGGGCCAAUUUUUAAUAAUACAAAUGGAUGAAUUUUUUAACA
rfam:Gossypium arboreum cultivar AKA8401 contig_11799_5, whole genome shotgun sequence.